rnacentral:rRNA from 1 species
UACGAAGGGGGCUAGCGUUGCUCGGAAUUACUGGGCGUAAAGCGCACGUAGGCGGCUUUCUAAGUCGGGGGUGAAAUCCUGGAGCUCAACUCCAGAACGUGCCUUCGAUACUGGAAAGCUCGAGUCCGGGAGAGGUGAGUGGAACUGCGAGUGUAGAGGUGAAAUUCGUAGAUAUUCGCAAGAACACCCGUGGCGAAAGCGGCUCUCUGGAACGAUACUGACGCUGAGACGCGAAAGCGUGGGGAGCGAACGAGGUAUCG